GCCUUAGCGCUACCUCUCUAUUAUCCUUCAGUGGCAGCGGCGAGGCACUUGAGGUGCUCCAAUGAGGUGCAUAUGGCGAGGCAAUCUGUGCGCCUGGUUAUCCGGCCUGCUUGAUUUGCGAUCCAAAGCUAGGCAAAACGAUCCAUUUGGUUUUCACCAUCUUCUCCUCAGGUGUUGAUUUUAUGGUGAAGUAUGUUCAUCUCGGCAGCAAGAAGCUCAAGCUUGCUUGCAAUUUGGGACACAGGAUAGAUCCCAUAGCUAGAGUCAAAGAAAAUUAAGAACUGCUGCAUACAUGUUGAACUUGUUUAGUCAAAGGGGGCUGCCAUGGGGUUCUAGCACGGAUGGUGAAAAAAAGAAUUCUUCCCCUUUGCAUUUGUAGUAGUAGAUUUUAAAAAUCAUGUGAAUUUGGAUAUUGAAGCCUCAAUUGACCAAGAGAUCAUUCAGCGAAUCAAGAAAUGUUGAAAUGAAGUCUCGUGUUGGACGUGGUAAAAUUAUGCCUAUGGGUUUAGAGCGUCACCAUUGAAAAAUGGCAGUAGCAUUACAA